GACGAACGCUGGCGGCGUGGAUUAGGCAUGCAAGUCGAACGGUAUCAUCCUUUCGGGGGUGAGAGAGUGGCGAACUGGUGAGUAACACGUAGGUUAUCUACCCUCAAGACGGGGACAACCCAGGGAAACUUGGGCUAAUACCGGAUGUGAGCAACUUUUAGUUGUUUGAAAGGUGGCGUAAGCUGUCGCUUGGGGAUGAGCCUGCGUCCUAUUAGUUAGUUGGCGGGGUAAAGGCCCACCAAGGCGAUGAUAGAUAGGCGGCCUUAACGGGUGGUCGCCCACACUGGGAUUGAGAUACGGCCCAGACUCCUACGGGAGGCAGCAGUCGAGAAUAGUCUACAAUGGUCGGAAGACUGAUAGUGCGACGCCGCGUGAACGAUGAAUCCCUUCGGGGUGUAAAGUUCUUUUAUAUGUGAGCAGUGCUUCUUAUAUUAACAGUAUGGGGAAGAGAUAUUAGCAUAUGAAUAAGCAACGGCUAACUCCGUGCCAGCAGCCGCGGUAAG
rnacentral:rRNA from 1 species